GCCGAGGCGCGCUGUCCGGGUGGUGGGAGCUCAACCCGCGACCGCGGCUACGAUUCUCUUGGCUCCUGCCCUCGCCUUAGUCGCUCUGCGGGGUUGGUUCGGUCCCGGCACUUCCAGAGGCCUCAGGGUCCUGGUCUUGUAGAGACUUCCUGAACGGUGGCGCCUGUUCCAGUGUGUGUGCGCUAACUGCCUGUUCUGUGCCAGCCGCGCGUGGCCGAAGGGCGGGAGGACGGGGGUUGUGGAGGGGAGGAUGGAGGUUGGGGAGACAGGGCGGGGACGAGAUAAGAGGUCGGGGGGUGGGGAGGAUGGUCGCGGGGCGGUCUGGGGCUGGAGACAAGGGGCCUGAGGUGCGGGUACGCACUGAACAUUCCAACCGUCCCCAGCCGGCCGGGUUUCAGGUUUGAAAAGGUGGGAAGGUUAGCUGUCCUGGCGCUUUUCCUCCACGUGUUGUGCGGCUCCGCUGGAGUUCGGGUCCAGCACCUUCUACUCCGAGGGAGAGAGCCGCGGGGAGAGCCCUGUUCGGGCCCGCGGCUCGAACUGACCGCCGGCUCUGCCGAGCAGCCUCGACCCCAGGGCACCCCCGGGAGAGAGGGCGCGGCUCAGGUCCCUGCCCGAACCCCUGGGGUGCUGAGAGACUCCCCAGCGCCCCGCGUGGGCUCCCGGCCUCUCCACAGUUGAGGAUCCUGUAAGGGGCGAGCCCUUUUUCCCAUAAUGGCUGUAGUGAGUGGGUGUGCUUUCCCGAUUGACCCGCUGUGAGAAAUGUGGUUUACAGCUUCUAUCAGGAUUAGCUUCAGCUUCAAGUGACAAAAGUCACUUGAAAUAUGAGUUGCUGAAACAAGAUGGCAGUCUCUCCCCUCAACAGGACUGUUACAACACCUUAUCUUCAGAGAACCAGGCUCUCUGCAACAUUUCAGGGACGUCGUUCAGUACCUUAUGUGGAAUUCAAGCUUAGCUGGGCAUCCUAUGUUUUAACUGGCUAACUCGUGGAACUCUCAACUUGGAUCAAGUGGUAGUGGAGUCCCAGGGACUCUGAGCAGCCAGUGUGUGAUACUGCAGGGCAGCACACCCUGGGGAGGCCAACUGUACAGAAUAAAAUUAAUGCUUUCUAUCUUUAGCAACUAAAGUUCUGAAAUAUAAAAAGGACCUCACAGCUUAACCCAUGUUAUACGGUGGGGUUUUCCCAUGAACAUCACGCGUUUCCAGCUGGGCACUCCUGCAGCAUGGCUAAGAUGACAACUCAAGUUCCCUGGGAGUGGGGGUUCCUGGGAUGUGAACCUUUCGGUGCAAAAACUGGAGAAGUUCCAGUUGGGACCCCAGGCAUAGAUACUAGGAUAAAUAGGGCCUCUCUCCUCCAGGAGCAUCAAUUUAACCCAAAGAUUCUUGGAGUCAGUUUCACAUAAGUAAUCUUGUUGAAAAUAGUAAUCCCAACAGAUCUAUUUUUCCAAAUGCACCAUUUGCAUAAAUCUCAGAAAAAAGACAACUUCAAGAACAUACCUUUGCUGGGCACCAUGGCUCAUGCCUGUAAUCCCAACUACUUGGCAGGCUGAGGCACGAGGAUCACUUGAGGCCAGGAGUCUGAGAUCAGCUUGGGCAACUGAUUUAUGGUUUGGAUUUGUGUCCAUGCCCUUCCUCUUCUGCCAUGAUUAUAAGUUUCCUGAGGCCUCCCUAGCCAUGCUUCCUGUACAGCCUACAGAACUAUGAGUCAAUUAAACCUCUUUUCUUUAUAAA
rnacentral:lncRNA from 1 species